CCCUUCGGGGUGGAUUACUGGCGAACGGGUGAGUAACGCGUGGGCAAUCUGCCCUUCACUCUGGGACAAGCCCUGGAAACGGGGUCUAAUACCGGAUAACACCGGCUUCCGCAUGGGAGCUGGUUAAAAGCUCCGGCGGUGAAGGAUGAGCCCGCGGCCUAUCAGCUUGUUGGUGGGGUAAUGGCCUACCAAGGCGACGACGGGUAGCCGGCCUGAGAGGGCGACCGGCCACACUGGGACUGAGACACGGCCCAGACUCCUACGGGAGGCAGCAGUGGGGAAUAUUGCACAAUGGGCGAAAGCCUGAUGCAGCGACGCCGCGUGAGGGAUGACGGCCUUCGGGUUGUAAACCUCUUUCAGCAGGGAAGAAGCGAAAGUGACGGUACCUGCAGAAGAAGCGCCGGCUAACUACGUGCCAGCAGCCGCGGUAAUACGUAGGGCGCAAGCGUUGUCCGGAAUUAUUGGGCGUAAAGAGCUCGUAGGCGGCUUGUCACGUCGGGUGUGAAAGCCCGGGGCUUAACCCCGGGUCUGCAUCCGAUACGGGCAGGCUAGAGUGUGGUAGGGGAGAUCGGAAUUCCUGGUGUAGCGGUGAAAUGCGCAGAUAUCAGGAGGAACACCGGUGGCGAAGGCGGAUCUCUGGGCCAUUACUGACGCUGAGGAGCGAAAGCGUGGGGAGCGAACAGGAUUAGAUACCCUGGUAGUCCACGCCGUAAACGUUGGGAACUAGGUGUUGGCGACAUUCCACGUCGUCGGUGCCGCAGCUAACGCAUUAAGCUCCCCGCCUGGGGAGUACG
rnacentral:rRNA from 1 species